rnacentral:rRNA from 1 species
ACGAACGCUGGCGGCGUGCCUAAUACAUGCAAGUCGAACGCUUCUUUUUCCACCGGAGCUUGCUCCACCGGAAAAAGAGGAGUGGCGAACGGGUGAGUAACACGUGGGUAACCUGCCCAUCAGAAGGGGAUAACACUUGGAAACAGGUGCUAAUACCGUAUAACAAUCGAAACCGCAUGGUUUUGAUUUGAAAGGCGCUUUCGGGUGUCGCUGAUGGAUGGACCCGCGGUGCAUUAGCUAGUUGGUGAGGUAACGGCUCACCAAGGCGACGAUGCAUAGCCGACCUGAGAGGGUGAUCGGCCACAUUGGGACUGAGACACGGCCCAAACUCCUACGGGAGGCAGCAGUAGGGAAUCUUCGGCAAUGGACGAAAGUCUGACCGAGCAACGCCGCGUGAGUGAAGAAGGUUUUCGGAUCGUAAAACUCUGUUGUUAGAGAAGAACAAGGAUGAGAGUAACUGUUCAUCCCUUGACGGUAUCUAACCAGAAAGCCACGGCUAACUACGUGCCAGCAGCCGCGGUAAUACGUAGGUGGCAAGCGUUGUCCGGAUUUAUUGGGCGUAAAGCGAGCGCAGGCGGUUUCUUAAGUCUGAUGUGAAAGCCCCCGGCUCAACCGGGGAGGGUCAUUGGAAACUGGGAGACUUGAGUGCAGAAGAGGAGAGUGGAAUUCCAUGUGUAGCGGUGAAAUGCGUAGAUAUAUGGAGGAACACCAGUGGCGAAGGCGGCUCUCUGGUCUGUAACUGACGCUGAGGCUCGAAAGCGUGGGGAGCAAACAGGAUUAGAUACCCUGGUAGUCCACGCCGUAAACGAUGAUUACUAGGUGUUGGAGGAUUGACCCCUUCAGUGCCGCAGUUAACACAAUAAGUAAUCCACCUGGGGAGUACGACCGCAAGGUUGAAACUCAAAGGAAUUGACGGGGGCCCGCACAAGCAGUGGAGUAUGUGGUUUAAUUCGACGCAACGCGAAGAACCUUACCAGGUCUUGACAUCCUUUGACCACUCUAGAGAUAGAGCUUCCCCUUCGGGGGCAAAGUGACAGGUGGUGCAUGGUUGUCGUCAGCUCGUGUCGUGAGAUGUUGGGUUAAGUCCCGCAACGAGCGCAACCCUUAUUGUUAGUUGCCAUCAUUUAGUUGGGCACUCUAGCAAGACUGCCGGUGACAAACCGGAGGAAGGUGGGGAUGACGUCAAAUCAUCAUGCCCCUUAUGACCUGGGCUACACACGUGCUACAAUGGGAAGUACAACGAGUCGCAAAGUCGCGAGGCUAAGCUAAUCUCUUAAAGCUUCUCUCAGUUCGGAUUGUAGGCUGCAACUCGCCUACAUGAAGCCGGAAUCGCUAGUAAUCGCGGAUCAGCACGCCGCGGUGAAUACGUUCCCGGGCCUUGUACACACCGCCCGUCACACCACGAGAGUUUGUAACACCCGAAGUCGGUGAGGUAACCUUUUGGAGCCAGCCGCCUAAGGUGGGAUAGAUGAUUGGGGUG